rnacentral:rRNA from 1 species
GAGUUUGAUCGUGGCUCAGAACGAACGCUGGCGGCAUGCCUAACACAUGCAAGUCGAACGAACUCUUCGGAGUUAGUGGCGCACGGGUGCGUAACGCGUGGGAAUCUGCCCUUGGGUACGGAAUAACUCAGAGAAAUUUGUGCUAAUACCGUAUAAUGACUUCGGUCCAAAGAUUUAUCGCCCAAGGAUGAGCCCGCGUAAGAUUAGCUAGUUGGUGGGGUAAAGGCCUACCAAGGCUACGAUCUUUAGCUGGUCUGAGAGGAUGAUCAGCCACACUGGGACUGAGACACGGCCCAGACUCCUACGGGAGGCAGCAGUGGGGAAUAUUGGACAAUGGGCGAAAGCCUGAUCCAGCAAUGCCGCGUGAGUGAUGAAGGCCUUAGGGUUGUAAAGCUCUUUUACCCGGGAUGAUAAUGACAGUACCGGGAGAAUAAGCUCCGGCUAACUCCGUGCCAGCCGCCGCAGUAAU